rnacentral:rRNA from 1 species
ACCCGUUGAUCCUGCGGGAGAUCGCUGCUAUUUGGGUUCGACUAAGCCAUGCAAGUCAGGGCUCGCAAGAGACCGGCGAAGUGCUCAGUAACACGUCGAUAAUCUGCCCUUAGGUCCGGGAUAACCUCGGGAAACUGAGGCUAAUACUGGAUAUGAAACUAUGUCUGGAAUGACUUUUUUUCAAAGGCAACGCCUAAGGAUGAGACGGCGGCGGAUUAGGCUGUUGGUGAGGUAAUGGCUCACCAAACCUAAGAUCCGUACGGGCUCUGAAAGGAGUAGCCCGGAGAAGGGCACUGAGAUACUGGCCCUAGCCCUACGGGGUGCAGCAGGCGCGAAACCUUUACAAUGCACGCAAGUGUGAUAAGGGAACCCAAAGUGCUUAGCUUUGCUAGGCUUUUGCCAAGUGUAAAUAACUUGGAGAAUCAGUGGUGGGAAAGACUGGUGCCAGCCGCCGCGGUAACACCAGCGCCACGAGUGGGGAUCAUCAUUAUUUGGCCUAAAGCGUCCGUAGCUGGUUGAGUAAAUCCUUUGUGAAAUUGUUUUGCCUAACAAAACAGCGUGCAGGGGAGACUGCUCAGCUAGGGACCGGGAGGAGUCAGAGGUAUGCUGGGGGGAGCGGUAAAAUGCAAUAAUCCCCAGUAGACCACCUGUGGCGAAGGCGUCUGACUAGAACGGGUCCGACAGUGAGGGACGAAAGCCAGGGGAGCAAACCGGAUUAGAUACCCGAGUAGUCCUGGCUGUAAACACUGCGAGCUAGGUGUUGCAUAUUCUCCGUGAAUAUGCAGUGUCGAAGAGAAGUCGUUAAGCUCGCCGCCUGGAAGUACGGUCGCAAGACUGAAACUUAAAGGAAUUGGCGGGGGAGCACUACAAGGGGUGCGGCGUGCGGUUUAAUCUAACUCCACACAGAAAAUCUCACCAGAAGCGACGGCAGGAUGAAGGUCAGUCUAAAGGGCUUACCUGACGAGCCGAGAGGUAGUGCAUGGCCGCCGUCAGCUCGUGCCGUAAGGUGUCCUGUUAAGUCAGGCAACGAGCGAGACCUGUAUCCACAAUUGCUAACGACUCAUUUUGAGAAUCGAGCACAUUGUGGGGACUGCCUUGGAAACAAGGAGGAAGGUGCAGGCUACGGUAGGUCUGUAUGCUCCGAAUCUUCUGGGCUACACGCGCGCAACAAUGGUGCAGACAAUGGGCUGCAACUCCGAAAGGAGAAGCUAAACCUCGAAACUGCAUCUAGGUUCAGAUUGAGGGUUGUAACUCACCCUCAUGACGCUGGAAUCCCUAGUAAUCGAGCGUCAUCAGCGUUCGGUGAAUAUGUCCCUGCUCCUUGCACACACCGCCCGUCAAACCACCCGAGUAGGGUCUAGAUGAGGCUUGGUUUUUAACUAGGUCGAAUCUAAGCUUUGCGAGGAGGGUUAAGUCGUCACAAGGUA